AGCUGGGUGAGGAGAGAGUUGGUGUUUGUUGGCUGUGCUGUGAGGUGCUGCAUGUGAGACAUCACUGAGAAGUUUUGGAGACAUUGUGAUGGCUGAAGACCAGAAUCAGAGCUGUCUUUUGACACUGCACAGAGAUGGAGUGCCAGCAUCCAGAGGUCUGACAAGCAGGAGUUGUGUGAGAAAGAAGGUGGCUGUCUCCUGUGAGUCCCUGGAGACCAGAGCAGCCUCAAACAACUGUAACAGCAAGAAUGCACCCCACAGUGCCCACAGUUCCUCCUUCACAGGAAACAAAAACCACAUGAGGCUGCCACAAGGCUCACGUUCAGCCCCAGCAAGGAGGACAUGGGGAUGGGAGGUGUGGGCACCAUGAGCAUAACGCAGGAGUCUUAGCAAACGCCUCUGAGCCACUUUGCUUAUGAGAGAAGACAAAUAAUUUGAAUUAUAAUACUGGUUGACUCAUUGUUUUAAAUCAAUGCCACCUAGUAGUCAAUUUUUUUCUGUGUCUUUUUUAAUAAAUAGAGUAUGCAAAUAAGUAUUUUAA